UGAUGACUGUUCCUCCUAAUGACUCAAGCCUGGCAUUAGGAUUUUAGGUCAUCAUAAAUUAAAAUUUGAUUUUCUUCACUCAGAGAUCACGUGGAUAGUGGGAUUAUCUGUCUGUUCUCUGAAAUUUGCGGAAUCAAACAUUU
ensembl:snoRNA SNORA79 small nucleolar RNA, H/ACA box 79